rnacentral:rRNA from 1 species
GACGAACGCUGGCGGCGUGCUUAACACAUGCAAGUCGAACGAGGCCCCUCCUUCGGGAGGGUGUCCUAGUGGCGAACGGGUGAGUAACACGUGGGCAACCUGCCCCCGGCUCUGGGAUAACCCCAAGAAAUUGGGGCUAAUACCGGAUAUGACCGCUGACCGCAUGGUCUGGUGGUGGAAAGUUUUUCGGCUGGGGAUGGGCCCGCGGCCUAUCAGCUUGUUGGUGGGGUAGUGGCCUACCAAGGCGACGACGGGUAGCCGGCCUGAGAGGGUGAGCGGCCACACUGGGACUGAGACACGGCCCAGACUCCUACGGGAGGCAGCAGUGGGGAAUAUUGCGCAAUGGGCGGAAGCCUGACGCAGCGACGCCGCGUGGGGGAUGACGGCCUUCGGGUUGUAAACCUCUUUCAGCAGGGACGAAGCGAAAGUGACGGUACCUGCAGAAGAAGCACCGGCCAACUACGUGCCAGCCGCCGCGGUAAUAC